rnacentral:lncRNA from 1 species
CUGCAAUUAAAGUUUGGUGCGAAGUCCGGCUCCCGUAGGAGUCCGGACGGAGCUUACCGACAGUUGAAGUCGGCGACGGAGCCCGGCUCCUGUAGGAGUCCGGGCGGAGUCUCCCUUGGAGUCGUGGAUGGAGCCUGACUCCCGUAGGAGUCCGGGCGGAGUCUUUUUUGGAGUCGUGGACGGAGCCCGACUCCCGUAGGAGUCCGAGCGGAGUCUUCCUUGGAGUCGUGGAU